AUGUGUAUACCAAAUAAAAAAGGAGGUAUGGGCUUCAGGGAUAUUCAUUGUUUCAAUCUUGCACUCCUAGCAAAACAAGCCUGACGUCUUAUUGAUAUUACAGAUUCAUUAUGUGCAACUAUCCUAAAAGUGAGGUACUUCCCAGAAGGAGAUCUCUUGAGUGCUACUUUGAAACAAAAAUCAUCAUAUACUUGGCACGACAUCAUGGCUGGUGUGGACACUUUGAGGUGUGGGUACAUAUGGAGAAUUGGAGAUGUAGAAAAGGUGAAUAUAUGGGAGGACUCGUGGAUCCCUCAAUCACCAACAAAAAAAGUGUAUAUGGGAGGACUCACUGAUCUGGUGACAGGUGAUUGGGACGCGCAAUUGGUGAACCAAAGUUUCUGGAAUGUGGAUGCUUAG
rnacentral:rRNA from 1 species